UCCAGGGCAGUCUAAAUCUAGAACAAUAUACGAGAAAGGGGUUGACCUUCCAAAUAAUCUGGUCCUUUCAAAAUCUGCCUCCAGUAUACAAGAGUUUGAAGAGCAACCUCAGCCUGGAAAUGUAGACAAGAAAGUUUCUGAUGAUUCUUACAGUCCGGACAUUUCAACAUCUCCCACAAAGAAGCAUACACUAAAAGGUCAGCCUAAGUCUGAAAACUCUGACGAAAAAGGUAUCAAACGUCCAAAUAAUCUGCACAUGUCUGCCUCUGUUGCAAGGAAGCGCCUCCUUAAAGAGGAAAAGACAUUCUGGAAAUGGAUGGUAGGUAAGAGAAAUAC
rnacentral:lncRNA from 1 species